CACAGUGGCCUAAUAAAAAGUCCAUAAAAUUGAUGUAAUUCCCAGUCCAUUGUCUAUUACACCUGAACUUUUAAAUCUGGACUUCUUUCUAUUUUCAAAUUUUAGGACAAUCUUAUACAAGAUGAACAAAAAAGAAAAAUCACGAAUAAACAUUGACCAAAUUCAGUGGGCACAUGGAAAGAACUGUGAUGUACCUUCCCAGCAUGAAGCUGUUAAAGAUAAAAAGUAACAACUCCAUUUAAGCACUGAGAUGAAACACUUUUGCAAGAUCCAUUUGAGCAGUUCCCAUCAUUUGUCCAGAUUCCUUCCAGAAGAGAUUCUUAUUAUAUUGGGAAGAAGACAAACACCAUAGUCACAGUUAAUGCUGAAAGAGUUGUGCACUGGCAAAUGAACAGAGAAGCCGCCCCAGAUCACCAGGAAGCUGUUCUCAUCCUAAUGAAUCUGUGAAGCUGGUCUGCCCUGUCUUGUGAGGGAAAAAGGCUGUUACUAUGACAUUUCAUGCUCUCUAAAUCUGGUUUAGAACAUUAGAACUCCAGAGCAGGCUAUAUAGAAACAGCAUUUCAGAAAGUGGAGGGAAGCAGUUUGGACAGCUUGCACCCUGGUCUCUGCAGUUUCCUCCCUUUCAUGACUGCCCUUUCUCCCACUUUGAGGGAGAUCUUCUGACCGCACAGGAAUUACUAUUAUGUAAGAAAAUAUGAAAACUGUAUGUGGGAGAUGAAAGAAGAUAAAAAUAAGAUGGAAUAAGGAGAAAGACAUGGAAGAAAGUAGAACCAUAAGGAGUAACUAUGUGAACUGGAUGCAAUGACAGGGACUUUGCAUCAUGGUCUCUUAUCCUUCUUCCCAGUCAUUUCUUUCUGUCUGUCUGUCUUUCUUUCUUUCUUUCUUUCUUUCUUUCUUUCUUUCUUUCUUUCUUUCUUUAGAAAAUUUCUAUGCCGCCCCAU